UAACUCUGCAGUGAGAUCGCCAAGAUGAUAGUGGAUCCUCUCUCGAGGUAAUGGCGAAGGUGACCACAGAUGGUAUCUAGAUGCAUGGAAGUGAUCAUUUGGCCGAGAACAGUGUGAACCUUACCCCCUUCAACCAGCUUAAGUAAUGGCGACAAUGGCUUCACUAUGGUCCUUCAACCUGAGUCCGAGCCAGCAACCUGUACACAGCAUCCAGUCGAAGCUAUCAACUGCCUUUUCUCUCAUGCAUUUUCUCUCAGGAGUGUGACAUGAGUCCAUGUGGCAUGAGCAUGGAGAGAGAUCCCGUCCAAACUUCUCUCAUGCUGCUGGUGUACUGGUAGGAAAAUGGACAAGACAUAAUGGACUGUAAAGGACAGUGGCGGCUCAGGUAAGAGACAUUAUCAAGGGCCAUCCACUUUGAACAUGAGGAGGAUGAACUGAAACGCCAGAAGAAUGAGUGCCGGGCUUAUCCAAAAUUGUUUCUUAGACUAGAAAUGCAUUGAGAUACCGAUCUGUCAUUAACAUGCCACUCGCGGCAAAAGCUCCAGCUGAAAUGUAAUUGACAGAAUCCAUGAAUGAAAUUGUGUAAUGAAUGAUAUGUGUAACAGUAUGAAGCGAAGGUCUUAACCCUUUGAUGUGUAUUAUCACGUAUUUGUGAUCAUUUUUGAGUGGUCCCUGCAGUGUACGAUCUCAAAUAUGUGAUUGGAACAGUAGCAACAGAACGUAUAACGCAACAAACGCAUUAAAUCAGCAUUGUUGUCUGGACAGCAUCUAAAUAUUUUUUUGUACUGAUAGAAAUAAAGUUCUUAAACUUUA